AGUUCUUUCCUGCGAAAUUUCUUCCAGAAGUGCGUCAGUAUAGAACAGGGAUUCUUUCUCAGAACACAAUAAUAACCACUAAUAACCAACAAUUGACGUUUCCACAAGACUCUUGAACGUUUAAGCAAGGCUGUGUUAUGGUAGGCGCCUUAUCCCAGCCUGCCAUAACAAACCACGUGAUUUAAGUGUUUUCUUCAUUGACAGAACAAUUAUCAAUCAAAUGGUAUGCUUUAAGCAGUGAUCAGAUGACUUUUGGCUUAGUAUCUUGAGAACGCAAGAUACCCUAAAUCUUGGUGGGAAUACUGUAUCAUCUUUUCAACAAGCACGCAAAGAUACUUUUGGCUGUAUAAAUCAAGAUGAGCGGUAUUCAAGGCAUUAUUGUAUGUGGAGAGGCAUCAGAGUCGGAUGAAGAAGAGGAAUUUUGUAUUGUGCAAGCUCAAGGACAGCAAGCAAAUGACAGUAAGGGUCUUCAUCAUCCCAUAAAGGAUACUGGACAAGAAAACCAGGAGGAGAAAUUGGCUCCAGUUCCACAUACAUAUCAGCAAAAGAAACUGCAUCAUUCAUUGCUCCAUCAAAAAUUAUGUAAGUUCAGAUGUUGAGUUA